GCCUCUGUGGCGUAGCGGUAACGCGCAUUCACGGUAUGAGUGAAACACGGGUUAGACUCCCGCUUGGGACU